rnacentral:rRNA from 1 species
AGAGUUUGAUUCUGGCUCAGAACGAACGCUGGCGGCGUGGAUAAGACAUGCAAGUCGAGCGAGAUUUUUUCCUGUAGCAAUACAGGGAAAAGUCUAGCGGCGAACGGGUGCUUAACACGUGGGCAAUUUGUCUUAAAGUGGGGGAUAGCUCGGCGAAAGCCGAAUUAAUACCGCAUGUGAUUAGAGUGGACAUCCACUCAAAAUUAAAGUCGGGGCAACCUGACGCUUUUUGAGGAGCCCGCGGCCUAUCAGCUAGUUGGUGAGGUAACGGCUCACCAAGGCUAUGACGGGUAGCUGGUCUGAGAGGACGACCAGCCACACUGGAACUGAGACACGGUCCAGACACCUACGGGUGGCAGCAGUCGAGAAUUUUUCUCAAUGGGGGAAACCCUGAAGGAGCGACGCCGCGUGGAGGAUGAAGGUCUUCGGGUUGUAAACUCCUGUCAUUUGGGAACAAGGCGUACGUGUUAACUGCACGUGCGUUGAUAGUACCAGAAGAGGAAGAGACGGCUAACUCUGUGCCAGCAGCCGCGGUAAUACAGAGGUCUCAAGCGUUGUUCGGAUUCAUUGGGCGUAAAGGGUGCGUAGGCGGCGCGGUAAGUCGGGUGUGAAAUUUCGAGGCUUAACUUCGAAACUGCAUUCGAUACUGCCGUGCUUGAGGACUGGAGAGGAGACUGGAAUUUACGGUGUAGCGGUGAAAUGCGUAGAUAUCGUAAGGAAGACCAGUGGCGAAGGCGGGUCUCUGGACAGUUCCUGACGCUGAGGCACGAAGGCCAGGGGAGCAAACGGGAUUAGAUACCCCGGUAGUCCUGGCAGUAAACGGUGCACGUUUGGUGUGGGAGGAUUCGACCCCUUCUGCGCCGGAGCUAACGCGUUAAACGUGCCGCCUGGGGAGUACGGUCGCAAGAUUAAAACUCAAAGAAAUUGACGGGGGCCCGCACAAGCGGUGGAGUAUGUGGCUUAAUUCGAUGCAACGCGAAGAACCUUACCUGGCCUUGACAUGCAUCUCUAAGCUGGUGAAAGCCAGUGAGUCCCGAAAGGGACAAUUUGCACAGGUGCUGCAUGGCUGUCGUCAGCUCGUGUCGUGAGAUGUUGGGUUAAGUCCCGC